rnacentral:rRNA from 1 species
AUUGAACGCUGGCGGCAUGCUUUACACAUGCAAGUCGAACGGUAACAGGCCGCAAGGUGCUGACGAGUGGCGAACGGGUGAGUAAUGCAUCGGAACGUGCCCAGUCGUGGGGGAUAACGCAGCGAAAGCUGUGCUAAUACCGCAUACGAUCUAUGGAUGAAAGCGGGGGACCGUAAGGCCUCGCGCGAUUGGAGCGGCCGAUGUCAGAUUAGCUAGUUGGUGGGGUAAAGGCCCACCAAGGCGACGAUCUGUAGCUGGUCUGAGAGGACGACCAGCCACACUGGGACUGAGACACGGCCCAGACUCCUACGGGAGGCAGCAGUGGGGAAUUUUGGACAAUGGGCGCAAGCCCGAUCCAGCAAUGCCGCGUGCAGGAAGAAGGCCUUCGGGUUGUAAACUGCUUUUGUACGGAACGAAACGGUCUGGGUUAAUACCUCGGGCUAAUGACGGUACCGUAAGAAUAAGCACCGGCUAACUACGUGCCAGCCGCCGCAGUAAUAC